rnacentral:rRNA from 1 species
GAUCCGGCUCAGGAUGAACGCUAGCUACAGGCUUAACACAUGCAAGUCGAGGGGCAGCGGGAAGUCAGCUUGCUGACUUUGCCGGCGACCGGCGCACGGGUGAGUAACACGUAUCCAACCUUCCCGUUACUCUGGAAUAGCCUUUCGAAAGAAAGAUUAAUACCGGAUAGUAUCGAGAGAUUGCAUGAUAACCCGAUUAAAGAUUCAUCGGUAACGGAUGGGGAUGCGUUCCAUUAGGCAGUUGGCGGGG